rnacentral:rRNA from 1 species
UACGUAGGGGGCCAGCGUUGUCCGGAAUUACUGGGCGUAAAGCGCACGCAGGCGGUCUAGUAAGCGGUGGGUGCAAUCUCAGGGCUCAACCCUGGAACCGCUCGCCGAACUGCUAGACUUGAGCAUGGGAGAGGGCAGUGGAAUUCCCGGUGUAGCGGUGGAAUGCGUAAAUAUCGGGAAGAACACCAGUGGCGAAGGCUGCUGCCUGGAACAUUGCUGACGCUGAGGUGCGAAAGCCAGGGGAGCGAACGGGAUUAGAUACCCCAGUA